UUUGGGAAUGCUGCUCAAAAUGGGAGGUAUAUGUCUUCUAAAGCUAAAUACCGGCCAGAGACCGAUAGCGCACAAGUAGAGUGAUCGAAAGAUGAAAAGCACUUUGAAAAGAGGGUUAAAAAGUACGUGAAAUUGUUGAAAGGGAAGCGCCUAUGACCAGACUUGGGCCCGGUGAAUCAUCCAGCGUUCUCGGUGGUUCACUUUGCCGGGCACAGGCCAGCAUCAGUUUGUCUUGGGGGAAAAAGGCUUUGGGAAUGUGGCUCCCUCGGGAGUGUUAUAGACCAUUGCAUAAUACCCUGGGACGGACUGAGGUUCGCGCAUCGCAAGGAUGCAUACCAUUCCGCGCGAGG
rnacentral:rRNA from 1 species